rnacentral:rRNA from 1 species
AUUGAACGCUGGCGGCAUGCCUUACACAUGCAAGUCGAACGGCAGCACGGGAGCAAUCCUGGUGGCGAGUGGCGAACGGGUGAGUAAUAUAUCGGAACGUGCCCAGUCGUGGGGGAUAACGUAGCGAAAGCUACGCUAAUACCGCAUACGAUCUAUGGAUGAAAGCGGGGGAUCGCAAGACCUCGCGCGAUUGGAGCGGCCGAUAUCAGAUUAGGUAGUUGGUGAGGUAAAGGCUCACCAAGCCGACGAUCUGUAGCUGGUCUGAGAGGACGACCAGCCACACUGGGACUGAGACACGGCCCAGACUCCUACGGGAGGCAGCAGUGGGAAUUUUGGACAAUGGGCGCAAGCCUGAUCCAGCAAUGCCGCGUGCAGGAUGAAGGCCUUCGGGUUGUAAACUGCUUUGUACGGAACGAAACGGUAAGCUCUAAUACAGUUUGCUAAUGACGGUACCGUAAGAAUAAGCACCGGCUAACUACGUG